UACGAAGGGGACUAGCGUUGUUCGGAAUUACUGGGCGUAAAGCGCGCGUAGGCGGAUCGCUAAGUCAGGGGUGAAAUCCCAGGGCUCAACCCUGGAACUGCCUUUGAUACUGACGAUCUGGAGAUCGGGAGAGGUUGGUGGAAUUCCGAGUGUAGAGGUGAAAUUCGUAGAUAUUGGGAAGAACACCAGUGGCGAAGGCGGCUCACUGGCCCGUAACUGACGCUGAGGCACGAAAGCGUGGGGGAGCAAACAGG
rnacentral:rRNA from 1 species